UAGACUAGCUCCCCAGGUGCCUCAGGA
rnacentral:piRNA from 1 species